ACACUGUAAUUGGUUCAAUCACACAUUAGGGCGUGUCUUAUGAUUUCUCGGCAACAGAUGGUGCUUUCACUACCUUAAUCCCGCUCCAGCUGUGGCUUGGCCACCGCGCCAUUUGUCUGUUUAAGCGAAAUAUGCAACGGUGCCGUUUAUUCCAGGGUAGGAUUGUUGCUUCUCAACGUACCCCCUACCCAUAAAGCCCCUGCCGUCUGUGCUGGUGAAGUCCGCUGCGUCCUCGUCAGCGGUUUCAUCGUCUGCGAUGAAGAAACUGGUUAUCAAGCCUUAACGAGGAGGAGGGAGCAACUCAGAAACCCACAUGAGAACACAGGUACAGAGGGCCAGUAGUGCGGUCUAGGUCACACCCUCUGCAGCAGUGACUGAAACAGGUCCUGGUUUGGGGGUAGUGGCCCAGAACUGAAUGAAUCAGUAUUUCAAAAAGACGAUAUGGAGUCAGUGGUUUCUUCCACGCAUGAAAACCAACCGUUGGAUGUCGCCCAGCCAUCUUUAUCAGACAUCGUUGCUUUGGAUCUGAACAGCCAUGAGGUGAAGUUUCAUUGAUUCUUCAAGGUCCCCCCCCCCCCGGAGGAAGGUCACAGUCUGAUUUCCAACGUAGGCUGAAGACCUGGACCCUGAUUAUAUGUGUGUGCCAGCUUGGUGUAAGUGGGCGUUGGCUAUUUCUGUGUCAUAGCAGGAGAGCCAAUCAGAGGUGGCGUGCCACUCGGGUCAGACCCACCACCCUUUGCUCUACAUCCCCAACAUCUGGGUGACUUUAGAAAUGGGGACUUUAGGACGGGUAGAGGAUGGCAUAAGGAAAAGGACAGGAACAGAGAAGUAUUAAAAAGAUAUACGAUUGCAGAAUUUCUAUUAUUUAGGGUUGUAGUAUUUUCUACUGUAUUUCAGGACUGUAUUUCAUUGAUACAUUUUCAGGGUCAAUAAAUGUGAUACUUUUCCCUGUCUGGCCUUGAA